rnacentral:rRNA from 2 species
UCCCUGACUCCUUGAGAGUCCUGAAGGAACGUUGAAGACGACGACGUUGAUAGGCCGGGUGUGUAAGCGCAGCGAUGCGUUGAGCUAACCGGUACUAAUGAACCGUGAGGCUUAACCUU